GACGGGGGAUGCGAGCGUUAUCCGGAAUGAUUGGGCGUAAAGCGUCUGUAGGUGGCUUUUUAAGUCCGCCGUCAAAUCCCAGGGCUCAACCCUGGACAGGCGGUGGAAACUACCAAGCUGGAGUACGGUAGGGGCAGAGGGAAUUUCCGGUGGAGCGGGUGAAAUGCUGUAGAGAUCGGAAAAGAACACCAACGGCGAAAGCAACUCUGCUAGGCCGACACUGACACUGAGAGACGAAGCUAGGGGA
rnacentral:rRNA from 1 species